GUUCAGGAUGUCUUCACUUACACAGAAAUGACCAAAGCCAUGGAGAAUAAUCUUGGAGAAUGACAUCUUUUCCACACUUGUUUAUGAAAUUACAGUCUCCAAUGACUACAGAGAGCAGAGACACAGGGACAAAGAAGCAUUUCCCCUCAAGACACAUAGGCAGCUGACACCCCUUAUCCUUUGCUAUGGUA
rnacentral:lncRNA from 1 species